AGGUUCACUCAUGUUGGCCAUGGAACCAGAGUGCUGGCAUCCAGUCUUUACAUCAAAACACGGAUGUCAGUAGCGUCACUGAGGACCAUCUUAGCCUCUGCAUCAUCUCGUAGAUAAGCACACGACACAUCAGGGAGCCCUUGCUCAGAUGGUCUGUCCUCCACUGUGACCGGCAUGCUGACUUCAGCAAGGGGAGUCAAGACAGCUGUAAUCAAAGAGCAUGAUUCCUGCACGAUGCAGGGUUGCAUUCAUAUCCAAUAAGGUGGCGGCGGACACCAGCAGGUAUCAAAUCUAUCAAGGGUGUGAAUCCCAUAACAGUUGUUGCUGUAAAAUCAUCGUAAAUAAAGCGUGUAUGCAUUGCACAAAAGGUG